UACGAAGGGGGCUAGCGUUGUUCGGAAUCACUGGGCGUAAAGGGCGCGUAGGCGGCCAUAUAAGUCGGGGGUGAAAGCCUGUGGCUCAACCACAGAAUUGCCUUCGAUACUGUAUGGCUCGAGACCGGAAGAGGUAAGUGGAACUGCGAGUGUAGAGGUGAAAUUCGUAGAUAUUCGCAAGAACACCAGUGGCGAAGGCGGCUUACUGGUCCGGUUCUGACGCUGAGGCGCGAAAGCGUGGGGAGCAAACGGG
rnacentral:rRNA from 1 species